rnacentral:lncRNA from 1 species
GCUGCUGACCGCGGGGCGGCGGAGGCCGGGGGUGAGGUGAGGUGAGGUGAGGUGAGAGCGGGGCGCGGCGGGGAGCGCGGCCGCGGGUCCAUCUUGCGCGGGGCCGGGGCCGAGCGGAGAAGCGCGGGGCCGCCACAAGGUGCCUGCGCCGCUCGGUGGCGGCGCCUUCCCCUGCCCUCCCUCACGGACGGCUCCGGAGUCACCCGGCCGCRAGUCCCCAGGGCGGGGGCGGCUGCUGGCCGGGUGCCGCGGGGGGACCUGGCCGUCCUGAGGCGCCGCGAGGUCUCCCCGCGCCCGGCAGAGCCAUCGGCGUCCGCGGCUGGUGCCUGAACUSGCGGGCACGAAGCGAGGAGGGGAGGGGGAAUGAGGCUGCCGGGGUUUUCCCGGCCUGUUUUAGCUUCGGGGGGGGAUUUACCGAAAUAAUUCCCCUCCCGCAGCCUGUGCGGGGUGAUGGUACCGCUGCAGGAGCGUCUGUGAGGCCUCGCGAAGAGGCGAUACCUGCCGGUUCUUCCUUCCCUCCUCCCCAUCAGGUACAUCAUGGCUCAUACUUCGUACCGUCAUAUAACACAUCCAAGGGAGGCCAGCUGAGAGGUCCUUACGCUUCCAACCGCCAUGGGAUCUCCCAGUGCCAGAAUUCAGCAACGUAUAGAAAGGAGACAUCACUAGAGCAUCAGAAUUAUUGGGCAGGUUGA